rnacentral:tRNA from 1 species
GCCUAGGUGGUUCAGUCGGUUAAGCGUCUGACUUUGGCUCAGGUCCUGAUCUCAUGGUUCGUGAGUUCAAACCCCACGUUGGGCU